GUACAAUACAGAAACAUAUAUUAUUAUAUUAUGACGACAAUUACGUUAAUAUAUGAGUGUGAUUUGUGUUAUUUGGUACAAGAUUUUUACGCUAUUUACAGGAUAUUAACAUUAAGAUAAUGUCAACACUAGACUAUAGGUAUAAAACUCCAUCUAUACAUUAAAUAUAUGCUAAUUUAUUAGUGUCAAAAUACGGGCUGUGGAGGCUAUGGAUGCUUAAGCUGCAGCGAACUUAAAUUUCACGGCCAACUAAACUUCGAACACAUGCAUGCAAAAUACCAGGCUAAGUUCCAGCCUCUCUUUCCAAAAUGUGCAAGCUCCAGCACAUCAAGGGUGGGACUGAAGCCGCUGCACAAAGCUCUGUGGUACUAUAUUAAUAACUAUACUACGAUACAGCAAAUUUCAAUUGUAUUUACAAACAGAGAUAUGACUAAAGCCCCGUUUACACUACGCUCAAUUUUUGGUACGGCACGGAUAAAAUUCGUACCCGUACCACUUUUUUGGUUCUUGGACUACCUAUUUAGCU